rnacentral:rRNA from 1 species
GAAUGCUGACAUAAGUAACGAUAAAGCGGGUGAAAAGCCCGCUCGCCGGAAGACCAAGGGUUCCUGUCCAACGUUAAUCGGGGCAGGGUGAGUCGACCCCUAAGGCGAGGCCGAAAGGCGUAGUCGAUGGGAAACGGGUUAAUAUUCCCGUACUUGGUGUUACUGCGAAGGGGGGACGGAGAAGGCUAUGUUGGCCGGGCGACGGUUGUCCCGGUUUAAGCGUGUAGGUGUGUGUUCCAGGUAAAUCCGGUUCACUUUAACACUGAGGCGUGACGACGAGGCACUACGGUGCUGAAGCAACAAAUGCCCUGCUUCCAGGAAAAGCCUCUAAGCAUCAGGUAACAUCAAAUCGUACCCCAAACCGACACAGGUGGUCAGGUAGAGAAUA